rnacentral:rRNA from 1 species
CAGCCGCCGCGGGAAUACGGAGGGAGCUAGCGUUGUUCGGAAUUACUGGGCGUAAAGCGCACGUAGGCGGCUUUGCAAGUUAGAGGUGAAAGCCUGGGGCUCAACUCCAGAAUUGCCUUUAAGACUGCAUCGCUUGAAUCAUGGAGAGGCGAGUGGAAUUCCGAGUGUAGAGGUGAAAUUCGUAGAUAUUCGGAAGAACACCAGUGGCGAAGGCGGCUCGCUGGACAUGUAUUGACGCUGAGGUGCGAAAGCGUGGGGAGCAAACAGGAUUAGAUACCCCGGUAGUCCCUGUCUCUUAUAC